AGGACGAACGCUGGCGGCGUGCCUAACACAUGCAAGUUGAGCGACGAACCAGGGCUUGCCCUGGGGCAAAGCAGCGAACGGGUGAGUAACACGUGGGUAACCUGCCCCGAUAACCGGGACAACCCGAGGAAACUCGGGCUAAUACCGGAUGUGCUCGCUGGACCCAAGUCCAGCGCGUAAAGGAAGCUUCGGCCUCCGUAUCGGGAGGGGCUCGCGGCCCAUUAGCUAGUUGGUGAGGUAACGGCUCACCAAGGCAUCGAUGGGUAGCUGGUCUGAGAGGACGAUCAGCCACACUGGGACUGAGACACGGCCCAGACUCCUACGGGAGCAGCAGUGGGAAUCUGCGCAAUGCGCGAAAGCGUGACGCAGCAACGCCGCGUAGGGGAAGACGGCCUUCGGGUUCGUAACCCGUUCGAGGAGGACGAAGGUGUGGCGGUUGAACGACGCCGACCG
rnacentral:rRNA from 1 species